UACGGAGGGGGCGAGCGUUAUUCGGAAUUAUUGGGCGUAAAGGGCGCGUAGGCGGCCUGGUAAGUCAAAGGUGAAAUCCCUCGGCUCAACUGAGGAAUUGCCUUUGAAACUACCUGGCUUGAGGCCGGGAGGGGGUAGCGGAAUUCCCAGUGUAGCGGUGAAAUGCGUAGAUACUGGGAGGAACACCAGUGGCGAAGGCGGCUACCUGGACCGGUUCUGACGCUGAUGCGCGAAAGCGUGGGGAGCAAACAGG
rnacentral:rRNA from 1 species